rnacentral:sRNA from 1 species
UCUGCAGCCCGAGCUGAGUGGAGCUCAUUUUUUGCGUGGCUUUAGCUUGGCAAAAUAGCGGGAACGGAGCGCGGAAAAGCUG